rnacentral:rRNA from 1 species
GAUGAACGCUGGCGGCGUGCUUAACACAUGCAAGUCGAACGAAACACCUAUUUGAUUUUCUUCGGAACUGAAGAUUUGGUGAUUGAGUGGCGGACGGGUGAGUAACGCGUGGGUAACCUGCCCUGUACAGGGGGAUAACAGUCAGAAAUGACUGCUAAUACCGCAUAAGACCACAGCACCGCAUGGUGCAGGGGUAAAAACUCCGGUGGUACAGGAUGGACCCGCGUCUGAUUAGCUGGUUGGUGAGGUAACGGCUCACCAAGGCGACGAUCAGUAGCCGGCUUGGGAGAGUGAACGGCCACAUUGGGACUGAGGCACGGCCCAAACUCGUACGGGAGGCAGCAGUGGGGAAUAUUGCACAAUGGAGGAAACCCUGAUGCAGCCACGCCGCGUGAGUGAAGAAGUAUUUCGGUAUGUAGAGCUCUAUCAGCAGGGAAGAAAAUGACGGUACCUGACUAAGAAGCCCCGGCUAACUACGUG